AAACUAACAAGGAUUCCCCUAGUAGCGGCGAGCGAAGCGGGAAGAGCUCAAAUUUAUAAUCUGGCACCUUCGGUGUCCGAGUUGUAAUCUCUAGAAGUGUUUUUCGCGUUGGACCGCACACAAGUCUGUUGGAAUACAGCGGCAUAGUGGUGAAACCCCCGUAUAUGGUGCGGACGCCCAGCGCUUUGUGAUACACUUUCAAUGAGUCGAGUUGUUUGGGAAUGCAGCUCAAAUUGGGUGGUAAAUUCCAUCUAAAGCUAAAUAUUGGCGAGAGACCGAUAGCGAACAAGUACCGUGAGGGAAAGAUGAAAAGCACUUUGGAAAGAGAGUUAACAGUACGUGAUAUUGUUGGAAGGGAAACGCUUGAAGUCAGACUUGCUUGCCGGAGCUUGCUUCGGUUUGCAGGCCAGCAUCAGUUUUCCGGGGUGGAUAAUGACGGUUUGAAGGUAGCAGUCUCGGCUGUGUUAUAGCUUUCCGUUGGAUACGCCUGGGGGACUGAGGAACGCAGCGUGCUUUUUGCGAAAGACUCGUCUUUUUCACGCUUAGGAUGCUGGUGGGAUGGCUUUAUACGAC
rnacentral:rRNA from 1 species